UAAUAGUGUAUAUUAAAGUUGUUGCAGUUAAAAAGCUCGUAGUUGAAUGUUGGUGUCGAACGAGCGGUCAGCUUCGGCUGUACUGCUCUCUCGACUCCUUCCUUCUGUGGACUACGUCGCACUUUACUGUGUGGCGCUAGGACGCAGAUCGUUUACUGUGAAAAAAUUAGAGUGUUCAAAGCAGGCCGUACGCUUGAAUACAUUAGCAUGGAAUAAUGGAAUAGGACGUCGGGCCUAUUUUGUUGGCUCUAGGACCGUCGUAAUGAUUAAUAGGGACAGUUGGGGCCGUUUAUAUUCCGUAGUCAGAGGUGAAAUUCUUGGAUUUACGGAAGAUAAACUACUGCGAAAGCAUUCGGCAAGGAUGUUUUCGUUA
rnacentral:rRNA from 1 species